CCUACGGGGGACAGCAGUGGGGGAUAUUGCACAAUGGGGGGAACCCUGAUGCAGCGACGCCGCGUGGGUGAAGGAGUGCUUCGGCAUGUAAAGCCCUAUCGGCAGGGAAGAAGCAAGACGGUACCUGACUAAGAAGCCCCGGCUAACUACGUGCCAGCAGCCGCGGUCAUACGUAGGGGGCGAGCGUUAUCCGGAUUCACUGGGUGUAAAGGGAGCGUAGACGGCCUAGCAAGCCAGGGGUGAAAGCCCGGGGCCCAACCUCGGGAUUGCCCUUGAAACUGGAUGGCUGGAGUGCAGGAGGGGCGGGCGGAAUUCCUGGUGUAGCGGUGAAAUGCGUAGAUAUAAGGAGGAACACCGGGGGCGAAGGCGGCCUGCUGGACCGCAACUGACGUUGAGGCUCGAAAGCGUGGGGAGCGAACAGGAUUAGAUACCCGGGUAGUC
rnacentral:rRNA from 1 species